rnacentral:rRNA from 1 species
UACGGGGGGGGCAAGCGUUGUUCGGAAUUACUGGGCGUAAGGGCUCGUAGGUGGCCAAUUAAGUCAGACGUGAAAUCCCCAGGCUCAACCUGGGAACUGCGUCUGAUACUGGUUGGCUUGAAUUCGGGAGAGGGAUGCAGAAUUCCAGGUGUAGCGGUGAAAUGCGUAGAUAUCUGGAGGAAUACCGGUGGCGAAGGCGGCAUCCUGGACCGAGAUUGACACUGAGGAGCGAAAGCCAGGGGAGCAAACGGG